UACGAAGGGGGCUAGCGUUGCUCGGAAUUACUGGGCGUAAAGCGCACGUAGGCGGCUUUCUAAGUCGGGGGUGAAAUCCUGGAGCUCAACUCCAGAACUGCCUUCGAUACUGGAGAGCUCGAGUCCGGGAGAGGUGAGUGGAAUUGCGAGUGUAGAGGUGAAAUUCGUAGAUAUUCGCAAGAACACCAGUGGCGAAGGCGGCUCACUGGCCCGGUACUGACGCUGAGGUGCGAAAGCGUGGGGAGCAAACAGG
rnacentral:rRNA from 1 species